UGGGGAAUAUUGCACAAUGGGCGCAAGCCUGAUGCAGCCAUGCCGCGUGUAUGAAGAAGGCCUUCGGGUUGUAAAGUACUUUCAGUCGGGAGGAAGGUGGUAAGGUUAAUAACCUUGGCAAUUGACGUUACCGACAGAAGAAGCACCGGCUAACUCCGUGCCAGCAGCCGCGGUAAUACGGAGGGUGCAAGCGUUAAUCGGAAUUACUGGGCGUAAAGCGCACGCAGGCGGUUGAUUGAGUUAGAUGUGAAAUCCCCGGGCUUAACCCGGGAAUUGCAUCUGAUACUGGUCAGCUAGAGUCUUGUAGAGGGGGGUAGAAUUCCAUGUGUAGCGGUGAAAUGCGUAGAGAUGUGGAGGAAUACCGGUGGCGAAGGCGGCCCCCUGGACAAAGACUGACGCUCAGGUGCGAAAGCGUGGGGAGCAAACAGG
rnacentral:rRNA from 1 species